rnacentral:rRNA from 1 species
AGGACGAACGCUGGCGGCGUGCUUAACACAUGCAAGUCGAGCGGAAAGGCCACUUCGGUGGUACUCGAGCGGCGAACGGGUGAGUAACACGUGAGUAAUCUGCCCCUGGCUUUGGGAUAGCCACCGGAAACGGUGAUUAAUACCGGAUAUGACAUGGACUCGCAUGGGUUUGUGUGGAAAGUUUUUCGGCCAGGGAUGUGCUCGCGGCCUAUCAGCUUGAUGGUGAGGUAAUGGCUCACCAUGGCUUCGGACGGGUAGCCGGCUGAGAGGGUGACCGGUCACA